rnacentral:rRNA from 1 species
AUUGAACGCUGGCGGCAGGCCUAACACAUGCAAGUCGAGCGGAGCGCCUGACGCGUGAGCACUGCCUAGGAAUCUGCCUGGUCGUGGGGGAUAACGACCGGAAACGGGCGCUAAUACCGCAUACUAUCAGAUGAGCCUAGGUCGGAUUAGCUAGUUGGGGGGGUACAGGCCUACCAGGGCGACGAUCCGUAACUGGUCUGAGAGGAGGACCAGGCACACUGGAACUGAGACACGGUCCAGACGCCUACGGGAGGCCGCAGUGGGGAAUAUUGGACAAUGGGCGAAAGCCUGAUCCAGCCAUGCCGGGUGUGUGAAGAAGGUCUUCGGAUUGUAAAGCACUUUAAGUUGGGAGGCGGUACCAGCAGAAUAAGCACCGGCUGACUUCGUGGCAGCAGCCGCGGUAAUAC